GGGGGUGUAGCUCAGUGGUGGAGCAGGUGCUUGGUGUGCACGAGGUCCUGGGUUCAAUCCCCAGUGCCUCCA
rnacentral:tRNA from 1 species